UACGUAGGUGGCGAGCGUUGCCCGGAAUUACUGGGUGUAAAGGGCGUGUAGGCGGGAAUGUAAGUCAGAUGUGAAAUUCCGAGGCUCAACCUCGGCGCUGCAUCUGAAACUAUAUUUCUUGAGUGCUGGAGAGGAAAGCGGAAUUCCUAGUGUAGCGGUGAAAUGCGUAGAUAUUAGGAGGAACACCAGUGGCGAAGGCGGCUUUCUGGACAGUAACUGACGCUGAGGCGCGAAAGCGUGGGGAGCAAACAGG
rnacentral:rRNA from 1 species